rnacentral:lncRNA from 1 species
UACCGAACUUUCUACUGCGCUUACUAGAGGUAUCCAGGUUUUUUAAAUUUUCCUGCGGCGAUUAAAACACGUUUCACGUACCUAAAAAUAUUCGAAAAAAAUCCAAAACUAGUGUUAAAAACCUUUUCAAACCAAUUUCAGAAUUUUGAUACGGCGGCACCGCCGUGCUCUGGCGAUGGCACCACCACCUGCGGCAAUAGUUUCCCUCAGACUGGCCAUUUUCGACUUGUUUUGGCUGGUGUUAUACUCAUACAUGUGAAAAAACACGUUAGGGGGCCUCGAUUGGCC